GUGAAGCCUGAGGAAUCCAAAGAGCUUCAUCAUUUUAUGAAGAGGAAGAAACCUUUAGGUGGUGCUAUCGCCUCUAAGCUUGGUCCAGUCGAGGCGGUCCUCAUCCAGUCAGCCACUAGUUCUCCACGGGUGCCCACCUAUGGUCCAGUUUCGAGGGGGGCAUCUUCCUCGAGAGCACUGGUCAUUCCCCCCUUCGAUCAGUCGCUCCUAGAGAAUAACUGUUAGAUGUAUGUCCUAGAAGCC
rnacentral:lncRNA from 1 species